AUUGAACGCUGGCGGCAGGCCUAACACAUGCAAGUCGAGCGGAUGAAGGGAGAUUGCGCCUGGCUGCAGCGGCGGACGGGUGGGUAAGGCAUAGGAAGCUGACUGACAGUUAGGGAUAACGUACCGACACGAGCGCGAAUACCGCAUACGUCCAGAGAUAGAACGUGGUGGAUCUUCAGACCUAGACGUAUUAGAUGAGCCUACGACGGAUUAGCUAGUUGGUUGGGUAACGGCCUACCAAGGCGACGAUCCGUAGCAGACCUGAGAGGAUGAUCAGCCACACUGGAACUGAGACACGGUCCAGACUCCUACGGGAGGCAGCAGUAGGGAAUCUUCCACAAUGGGCGAAAGCCUGAUCCAGCAAUGCCGCGUGAGUGAAGAAGGUCUUCGGAUUGUAAAACUCUGUAAGUUGGGAAGAACAAAAGUGAGUGUAACUCUUCACGUCUUGACGUUACCUAAACAAAAAGCCACGGCUAACUUCGUG
rnacentral:rRNA from 1 species